rnacentral:rRNA from 1 species
UACGAAGGGGGCUAGCGUUGCUCGGAUUGACUGGGCGUAAAGGGCGCGUAGGCGGCUAGUUCAGUCAGGCGUGAAAUUCCUGGGCUCAACCUGGGGGCUGCGUUUGAUACGUAUUGUCUGGAGUUCGGAAGAGGGUCGUGGAAUUCCCAGUGUAGAGGUGAAAUUCGUAGAUAUUGGGAAGAACACCGGUGGCGAAGGCGGCUAUCUGGACCGACAUUGACGCUGAUGCGCGAAAGCGUGGGGAGCAAACAGG